UGAGGCCGUGAGCCGUCCGCUCCCUGCUCCCGGACCUAGACCGCCCGCUCUGUCCGCCCCGGCGUCCGGCGACGCUCUGCGCCUCUCCCCCUCCCCCGGCGCGCCCCGUCCCCGGCGGCCGGCCACGGCUGCUCGGGCCCAGCCCCGCCGCCCCGGCUCCGGCUCCCGCUCGAGCCUCGGGCGCUCCCGCCAGGCGCCAGGCCGCCUCCCAUGUUCCGGCCACGGGCCACGCCGCCACGGCGCCCAGUCCGGCCCCAGCGCGGCAGCGCUUUGUGGUGAGACCGUGAGAGCUUUCCCCCCUCCAUUCUCUCCUCGUAGUUUUAGUCUUAGCAAAUUUUCCCCAAAUUCCUAACCCUAACUUUUCUUUACUGCCAUCUAAUUUAUUAGCUAGUUGUUGUUAGAUUUUACCAUGAUUUAGUUCAAUUGAUGUAGCUUUUAGAUGUAUGCGGUAGGAAUUAGGGAUGUAUUGCAUUGGUCAAUACCUAUAUUGAUGUCAUGAGACAUGAUGAUAGAUUCAGUGGUAAAGAAAACGUUGUUGACCUCUCAGUUAAGCUAGUGGAAACAAAUAGGCACAAUGUUUAUAAUUUGGUUUACUUGCUUCUCAAAAUGGUAUUGCUUCUACCGGUGGCGACGGCAAGCGUUGAGAGGGUAUUUUCUGGUAUGGAUUUUGUCAAAACCAAGCAGAGAAAUAAGAUGAGUGGUAGUCUCUUGGAGAUUGCCUUGCCACGUUCAUUUGAGAGAGACAUUUUGGAAGCUGCGGAUGAAGAUGAUGUAGUUAAGACAUUCAUGGCUACGAGAAAGUGUAGGCUUGAAAAAUAGUGUUGUGAUCUUAUUUGUUAUUUAAGCUUGUGUCGUUUAUAUUUCAAACUAUUAGUGUGCUGUUUUAAACUAUCUGGAUUGUAAUUUAAGACCUACUAUGCUAUUUACUAGUUGUGUACCGAAUUGUUGGGUAAGUUUAUGAAACUUUACUGAAUUGCUAAAUAGAUUUUACCGGUUUGCAUAUAAAUAUUUUGGUUCUGCAUACUCCAUGCAGAAAUUCUAGCUCCGUGACUGACCAUUGCCAUUUAUAUAGACCAUUGCCAUUUAUAUAGAGGCCUUUAAUACGGGGAGAUCACGUUUAUCAUGUCUCGUUGAGAAGAAUCGAUCGAGCUGAUACCAAGCAAUUUACCAACUCGACUCCCAACUAGUCGUAACCCAGAA
rnacentral:lncRNA from 1 species